UUUGGCACUCUCUCCACGGAAUAGCGAUUCAGCAUGAAAAAUUUGGUCUGAGUUUCAACUUUACCCUUCUCAUUUCUUUCUCACGUCUAAAGCAUCUUCUUCUUUUUUUCAUUCUUCUUCCUAUUUCUUUCCAACCUUCUCCCUAUUUUUCAUGCUUCUAUCUUGACCAACCCUUUGACAAACCCUAACAACCUUCAACAAGGCCUUCAAUUACGAAUCGUAUGAGGUGGAAACUUGAGAAGAGAAACAAUCGAAUUGGUUCGAUGUGAGUAGUCGUCCCUAAGGUAACUCUACUCCCAUUUUGAUUUCCUUUUUUUCUAAUUUUUUUGUUAAAUUAGUAGAAAUAAUAGGUGUCUUUUCAGUUCUGGGUAUUUUGAUUUCCACUUUUUUUUCUCAAAAUCUGAGCAAAACCCAGAUGUUAAAAAGUGGUAAUUUGUUCUGGGUAUUUGUUGUUUUUUAAGUUUUUUUUGUACAUGCAUUUCCCCUGUAAGCAGUUUCUCUUUACUAUCAGAUGGUUCAUCUUCAAGCUUGUUUUCACACAAUGGGCAGUCUUUAUCUGACCAUGGAUCACCACCACCACCAUUAGAGGACUUUAAGCCACACUUGUUUGGUGAACUUGAUCUUUGUAGAAACUUUAGUGAACUGUAUAUUAGCAAUGAUCAAGAGAAUUUGGAUUCUAGUUUUAGAGAUUUCUCCCUUGAAUCCAAUGGGAUUCAACGUUUUGACCAAUUCAAUGUUGAGAAACAUGGUGUUUGUGAUACAUUGAGGAAAGGGUUUUCUGAAUUUAUGCCUUUGAGUUUCAAUGGUAGGAUGAAUAUGGCAUUUUCUGGUUUGCCCCAUAAUUUAUUAGGUCCUCAAAUGUAUGCUUAUGAAUGUGUGUUACUUCAUUAAACGUUUGUAGCAUUUUAUGGAAUGAUAUUUGGUAGUGCGAUCUCACUAGGUAUUUCUUUUCCCAACUCUCACAUUCCUGCAAUAGAACCGCCUUUUUCUUUAAUGCUGUCAUUAUUAUUAUUAUUAAAAUGGCUUAGGUGCUUUAAAUUAUGUAAAAUAAAAUGGCAAUAAAACAGGUGGGAUAGGCAUUGCUAAGAUGAUCAAACAGAUUGAAAGAAAGGAGUAUAUGAGACUUGAUGAUAUUUGCUCCUAUCAGCCAUAGCUUGAAUUGGAAGAGUAGUGAAAGUUUAACUACAAAAGUCCCCUGUACAACAAGACAUAUUACAAUUAUAGAUGCACUACGUGUUACAAGGCCAAGCCUCCAUUACCAAAAUAAGAGAAUCAGAUUUCAUUAAAUUAUGAUAAUGUAUGAUCCAUUUUUUAGCAAGAAGCAAAAUGUGUUGUCAAAUAUUCAAAAUUUUUUUUAGAACAAUGAUUUUUAUGGUACG
rnacentral:lncRNA from 1 species